GAGGUCCAUUGGUGAUGGCUGCCCACUUCUUGGGCACUGCUGGCCUCUGGCUGUUGGCCCUCUCAGGCCUGCCACCGAGGCCCAGCAGCUGCAGCAGAAAGGAGAGAGACGUGCAAGAACGAGAACACAGAGCUGUGGCCCGCGGCCUGGGUCUGUCUGCUGCUCAGACAGACCAUCAAAAUGUAGUGAACAGACACUUUUUUAUAGGAAUGGGGACGUCUAGAAGCUGGAGAAAUAUGGGAGACGGAUGAGAUGAUGGAUGGAAAGUAAAAAAGGCCACUUUCAAGAAACCUGAAAUACCAAGGUUCUCAGAGGGCGAUUUUAAACACAAAGCCGCUCUUGCGCUGUGGAGGGUCUCAGACAGCCUCCCCCGGGCUCCGUUCCCUGUCCCAUGGACACGAAGUCCCGUCUCUGUGGUUCCUCACCUUCAGGCCUGAGAGACUUGAAAAUCUGGAAGGCUACAGUCUUCUCCACAACGGAGACACGAGGACAUGGGGUCGUGCUUCCAACUUCGGGAGGUGUCUGGAGCCCUGAGCUGCGGUCCUGGCCCUGGUGUGUGGCCCUGGCCUCCCCACGGCUUCCUGUGACUUCUCCUGCCCAGGGCUGGAGAGCUGUGCUAUCAUUUCACAAUCAGCCAUGUCCCCCCUGUUCCCAGGAAUCAACAAGCUGAGCGAGGCCGCCUCCCCACACCCUGAAGAGGCUCUCCAAGGGGGCAGGCCCUCUUGGGUGGAGCCCAGGGUCCCCAGGGCUGCUGCCUGAGGCUCUUCUCCCCCAGCUCAGGCUGCGGGCACCUUGACUCCGCUGGGUUCCUCUGGUGGUGACAGUCCCGCAGGGCACAGACCGAUGGCCUCUGCUUCUGUGCUGAGGGAAUGGGUGGCAGAGGGAGGCAGCCCCCGUGACACACGGGCUCAGCUGGCAAGCAGCACCCACGCUCUAUGUCCUGGAGUGCGCUGGUGCCCUCAGGGCCCUAGGUAGGGGACCUGGAGCAGGAAACCCUGGCGUCCCCCUCCUCACUGCAGCCCAGCCUCGGCGACUACUGGGGGACCUUGAAGUUCAUGAGAGUGGAGGUGUGGGUCUGGUCCCCCAGGUGGAGCCCUAAUGGGCCCCGGGGCCCAGAGUCCCUGGAUUGCAUCCCCCUGUGCCUGGGCCCACUCACUGCUCCCUGCUUCCUGGCCUCCAGGGUGUGGAGGGUGUCAAGUGUCCCCAGCGAGGACAGUCAGCCUUAGCUGAGAUUGGACCAGGCUCAGCUGGGCUCGGGCAGAGGCAGCACCACCAUGGGCGGAGAAGAGCUCGGGUCUGCUGGGGACGGGCCCAGGUGGGGGUCACUGUCCCCCCAUGAGCCUCCGAGCCUUCCAGGGACAGGAAGCCCGGCCUGCUCUGUGCCCUGAGGCUCUUCUCCUCACCCCUGUGUGUACAUGUCACCUGUGCCACGGCCCCCGUCUGGAUCUGGGAAGUGACUGCCGCUCCCUGCGCCCCGUCUUUCCUUCCUUUUCCUUCCUCAGCAAGGACAUUAUUCAACCCAGUAACACCCGAUUCAAUAAGAAAGAGUAAGAAUCAGUUGUCUCUGUAUUAAAAUGUUGUGUUAAUUUAAAAUAAAUUUGUUCACAUUGUUUUGAACAUUGAAACCACACAAAUUGAUAAAGAGGCACAAACUG